GACGAACGCUGGCGGCGUGCUUAACACAUGCAAGUCGAACGGAAAGGCCCUGCUUUUGUGGGGUGCUCGAGUGGCGAACGGGUGAGUAACACGUGAGUAACCUGCCCUUGACUUUGGGAUAACUUCAGGAAACUGGGGCUAAUACCGGAUAGGAGCUCCUGCUGCAUGGUGGGGGUUGGAAAGUUUCGGCGGUUGGGGAUGGACUCGCGGCUUAUCAGCUUGUUGGUGGGGUAGUGGCUUACCAAGGCUUUGACGGGUAGCCGGCCUGAGAGGGUGACCGGCCACAUGGGGACUGAGAGACGGCCCAGACGCCUACGGGAGGCAGCAGGGGGGAACAUUGCACAAUGGGCGCAAGCCUGAUGCAGCAACGCCGCGUGCGGGAUGACGGCCUUCGGGUUGUAAACCGCUUUCGCCUGUGACGAAGCGUGAGUGACGGUAAUGGGUAAAGAAGCACCGGCUAACUACGUG
rnacentral:rRNA from 1 species